GUAAGAAGCUUGCUUUGAACUAUUCUAGCGGCGGACGGGUGAGUAACGCGUGAGCAACCUCUCCUCUACUGGGGAAUAACACAGGGAAACUUGUACUAAUACCGCAUAAGACCACGCUACCGCAUGGUAGAGGGGUCAAAGAUUUAUCGGUAGAGGGUGGGCUCGCGUCCGAUUAGGGUAGUUGGUGAGGUAACGGCCCACCAAGCCGACGAUCGGUAGCCGACCUGAGAGGUUGAACGGCCACAUUGGGACUGAGAUACGGCCCAGACUCCUACGGGAGGCAGCAGUGGGGAAUAUUGGGCAAUGGGGGCAACCCUGACCCAGCAACGCCGCGUGAAGGAAGAAGGCUUUCGGGUUGUAAACUUCUUUUACCAGGGACGAAGACGUGACGGUACCUGGAGAAAAAGCCACGGCUAACUACGUG
rnacentral:rRNA from 1 species